rnacentral:rRNA from 1 species
UACGUAUGCAGCGAGCGUUAUUCGGACUUACUGGGCGUAAAGAGUGUGUAGGCGGUGCUCUAAGUCUGUCGUGAAAUCACCCGGCUUAACUGGGAGGGUGCGGCGGAAACUGGUGUGCUCGAGGGUGGGAGAGGUAAGCGGAAUUCCUGGUGUAGCGGUGAAAUGCGUAGAUAUCAGGAGGAACACCUGCGGUGUAGACAGCUUACUGGACCACUUCUGACGCUGAGACACGAAAGCGUGGGUAGCAAACAGG